GCGGGCAUGCCUAACACAUGCAAGUCGAACGAACCCUUCGGGGUUAGUGGCGCACGGGUGNGUAACGCGUGGGAAUCUGCCCUUUGCUGCGGGAUAACAGUGAGAAAUCGCUGCUAAUACCGCAUAAUGACUACGGUCCAAAGAUUUAUCGGCAAAGGAUGAGCCCGCGUAAGAUUAGCUUGUUGGUGGGGUAAAAGCCUACCAAGGNGANGAUCUUUAGCUGGUNUGAGAGGNUGAUCAGCCACACUGGGANUGAGACACGGCCCAGACUCCUACGGGAGGCAGCAGUGGGGAAUAUUGGACAAUGGGCGAAAGCCUGAUCCAGCAAUGCCGCGUGAGUGAUGAAGGCGUUAGGGU
rnacentral:rRNA from 1 species